GGAAAAUCGCCCUGGGGGAUGCGAACAGGAUGGGCACUUGGAGCUUACACGAGGUUGAGUCGCCCAGUGUCAGGAGUUGAACCCAGCUCCCCCUGCCUGCAGAACGUGCGUAGCCCCGCGCUGGGGCAGAGGGCUGGAAUGCAGUGGUAGGAAC